UACGGGGGGGGCAAGCGUUGUUCGGAAUUACUGGGCGUAAAGGGCUCGUAGGCGGCCAACUAAGUCGGACGUGAAAUCCCCAGGCUCAACCUGGGAACUGCGUCUGAUACUGGAUGGCUUGAAUCCGGGAGAGGGAUGCAGAAUUCCAGGUGUAGCGGUGAAAUGCGUAGAUAUCUGGAGGAACACCGGUGGCGAAGGCGGCGUUCUGGACUGCAACUGACACUGAGAGACGAAAGCCAGGGGAGCAAACGGG
rnacentral:rRNA from 1 species